UAAGCGACUAAGCGUAUACGGUGGAUGCCUUGGCAGUCAGAGGCGAUGAAGGACGUAGUAACUUGCGAAAAGCGUUGGCGAGCUAGUAACAAGCAUUUGAGCUAACGAUGUCCGAAUGGGGGAACCCAGCAGCAUAAGCUGUUAUCACUACAUGAAUACAUAGUGUAGUGAGGCAAACGAGGGGAACUGAAACAUCUAAGUACCCUUAGGAAAAGAAAUCAACCGAGAUUCCCCUAGUAGCGGCGAGCGAACGGGGAUUAGCCCUUAAGUCAGAGGGG
rnacentral:rRNA from 1 species